CGGAGGAAGAGAUGGAUGAUCAUCGCAGACUGCUGGAUUUCUCCCGGAGGCCCCAGAUAAUCUUACACCGAAUAGAUUGCCUGCAGUGUAACAUUUAUUACCAGGAGAGGAGAUCCACUCUGGACCAGGAGGAGUUGGAACCUCUGCAGGUGAAACAAGAACAGGAAGAGCCUGAAGAUCAUCAGA